ensembl:lncRNA
UUUAGAAGCUUAAAAAGGUUGUUUAAUAGGAAGUACAGCUUGUAAUAAGUUGAAAUUCUGAAAAUAUAUAAAAUAAAUGAAAAUAUAGAGCUGCUCUUUUAAUUAUGCCAAUAAAAUCACAGAAAAACAAGACCAGGACACCAUAGUCAGUCCAGCAUCCACUGAGGUUUAAUGACCAAGCUUUGUAAAAUGUUUUGUCUACUUGCACAACCUCAGUUGAGUCAUACACUCUCACAGGAUGAAGUACCUUACCAAUUUUCUGGUCACUGCAUUGUUAGUGCAGACUAUGUCAUCACAACCCUGGAACCACUUAUACUGGCUUUGAGUGAACUAAAGGAGGCGGCGUUAUUUACUGUAACAAUGUGCUCAAAAUGAAAAUACAAAAAAAAAAAAACCCUGAUAAAAACAAACAAAAGAUAGACUAGAAACUAAGAAUUUUGCAACUAUGAAUUUACAACUAUAACCAAAGGGUCCCAAAACACACCGCAAGCAGGAAUGACACAACAACAAGCAGAGGGAGAGGAUUUAAAUACAGGUGACGGGCAACAGGUAGGAAUACAGGAGGAACAAAUCAGCUAUAACGAGAUGGGAGCGGAGCAAAACUAAACACAACACACAUGAGACAGGACUACCAAAAUAAAACAGGAAACACAACAUAGAGACCGAGAGCGAGGGAGGCAUAACAGGCUAGGGACAGGGAAGGGAACAGACUACAUGACCAAGUAAAUAAGGACUAUAAAUAUAAAGAGUUAAACUGGGAAGCACAAAUCAAGACUACGAAACAAAGAUCACCACAAUAAUAAAGAACCGAGGUCUCAAAAUCCAGAAAACACUACAACUCUGAAAAAAACACAUGAAACUCACUGAGGUCUUUUUCUGAACACCAGUUGUCAUAACUCAGAAAAUACAGUUUAAAUAGAAAAAGAUUUUAGUUUUUUUAGUUUUUUUAAGUUGUCUAAAGCAGCCUACUCCUUUCAAGCUGUUGCAGCAUCUCCGUCUGUAUAAUCGUACAUUUUCUGCACCCCCACAGUAAUAUAUGCUACCACUGCUUGCGUGCAUGCUGUCAUGCCUUCCUUCCCUUCUCAGGAG